AAUUGAACAAGAAACAAAAUUGUUGCAGGCUCUAACAAUUUAUUUACAUCAAAUGAUUAAACAUAGACAUAUAUCUCAGUAACCUGUAAUAAUAUAAGGGGCAGUUUGAAUAAUUACUGGUUGUCCAUAUUAACCUGUUUAAUGUUUACAUACUUUAUCAUACAAUUUCAAUGCAUACCCUAUUGCUUACGUUUUAAUCUCAAACAUUUCUAAAAAUUUCCACCUAUAUCAGACUGUGUGUAACUAAUUAAAAAUAUUGAAAGUGUCAAAAGUAUUAUGUGGGCUUGAUAGUAUCAAUUAUAUUUCCUCAACAUAAAUAAGUAUUUGAACUUUCUUAUACUGAUAUUUAUACCCUAAUACAAUUAAUGUCUACCACAUUGACCAUAAACAUACAUUUUAAAAGGCAAUUAAAAUAAUAUUUAUACUAUUAAUAUUAUUUGCUAAAACCAUUCAGCAUGUUAUAUUUAAAUAUUUACAAUUAAAUAUAAUGUGUUAAGGGUGCUGUGUAUUAUUCAAUAAAUAUUUUGGUGUUGAAAUGACUGCCUUAUCAGUAUUUCUCAAAUUAUGCAAUUUUUGGCUUAGACACAGCAUGGUAUCAGAUAAGAGAAUAGCCAGUCCCUAUCAGUCCUCCAUCUAAGCCUAACUAAGGGGUGUUGAUAUACUUUUGAUUUGUUCAGGCACCAUCUAUUUGAGAACCACAGAUAGGAAGUUAUUUUUUGAAAACAAGCAGCAUCAGCAACUGACUUUAAGCUAGAAUUAAGACUUAUUAUUUUAGUGUAAAAUGUCUUGAAAUACUUUCAGCAUGAAGUAUUGUGUGAUGAAAAAAAUGUGUAUUUACUACAAUGUGUAAAUCAACAAUAAAGGAGAUUAAAAGUGGGUGGUUAAAGACAUAUAAAGUGAUAUGGUCUAGUUCAACAACUGCCUGUAUUUUUGGAAUACUGAAGAACAGUCUGUUGUAACAGGUUAAACCCCAUGGAAAGAAUGUGCAUCAUCGCAUCGCCUGCCAAAAAAGGGAGCAAAAAAGAGACUACCUGAUGUAUGGACUUGAAUACCAGGUUUUACCCUGCACAAGCUGGCCGACAUGAGGAGAACAGGAGUGGGAAAACCGCGCCCUCUCCUUGACCAAGAAAAGCUGGAUUUGUUUAGAGGACCUGAUCAAAUGAGAUCAUGCACGAGACGCAUCGCGCAAAGGCCAUGACAGUAUAAUUGUUGCAAAGAAGUUUGACCAGCUAGUGGCAGACUUGGAGAGAAAGAUGAGAGCUGCACUCCGCUGCCUCAAAGAAAUGCUGAAAGGCCUUGAUUGAUAUGCAUCUUUCUUAUGUAUAUAGCUGUUCGUGUGAAUAUACUGUACAUGUUAUUAUAGUAUGCUAUUAUUUUUUUGUUUAUUUAUAAUCAAAUUAUGUUUAUAUUUAUUUCAUCAAAUUGCCAUUGAUAUUUAAUUACUCAUGUAUGUUAAAAAAUGUUGGUGUACAUUAAAGUAUAAAAUUGAAUUAUCUUGUAAUUAUUAAAAUACACAAAUAUAUAUGUUUAUAUAAUUAUUGGUUUUUAUUGCAUAUCUGAAUUAAAAAAAACUUUUAACAGCAUAUAAUUGAAUCAACUGUUAAGGCAAAAGAUGCACCUUUAACGCACAUGUGUGCUUUUUGUGAGUGCGUUUUUUGCUGCCAUUCAUUUGCGUAAAUUGUGCGUUUUGUGUGGGUUAUAACUGCGCUUAACGUGCGUUAAAUGUGCGCUUUUUGUGAGUUAAAUGUGCGCUUUUUUUAUUUAAAAAGC